rnacentral:lncRNA from 1 species
AGGCUGUGGGGAAAGCAUUCCAGGCAGAGGGUCCCUGAGAAACCCUGACACUCAGGGCUUGGUCUGAAGUGGCUCCUGGGUGAGCAGGGGACUCAGACACCCAGGGAACGAGGCAGAGUAUGGUGCUGCCACAAAUGAGAUCCAUCCAGGCAAAGUGCUUUGAGAAUAUGAGGAAAAAGCCAUCUUGUAUGACUGGGUAUCUCAGAAGGCUUCAAGGAGGGAGUAGCAUUUGAAUUAGGCCUUGAAGAGUGAGUAGGAUUUGGAUGGGUGAAGGUAGGGAGGAAGGGAAUUGUAGGCAGAGAGAACUAUACGAAUAAAGGCCCCAAGGUGUGACAGUACAAGGCAUAUUUGAUGGGUAGAAAGGGCUUUGCAGUGUAUAGGGAUUAGGACACAAUUUUCCCCUAUUUAUUCACCUGUUCAUUUUUUAUCGCAUGCCUAAUCGGGGUCUACACUGGGCAUACAGCUGCCAGGUGAGGAUUCCUGGGACUUCCUUUAGAAGAGCCCUGUUCCCUCCCCAACCCCAGUCCCCGCUGGGGCUUCCUGCCAGCAGGUCUGCUGGGAGUGGCAGAAGGUGUCCCUGGAAUGCCUUCUUUGCAGCAGCUGCCCGCACCCAAGUCUGUUUCUCUGACUCUUUCUAGAGUAUGAUAGGUGUGAUUGUGAAUGUUCCCCUGCCCCAGUUUCUCCAAGCCUGCCUGUCUCCAGAUCCCUGUUCUCCUUGGUCUCUCCUUACCCACCUCAGUCCCACUUCUGCCUGCCCAGCAGGAACCCCCAACCUAGCCUUCUUUGGGGACCUUGCUCUGUUCUCUCCCAGUGGCCAACCCGCAUCUGCGAGGGAUCUGGAGGCAGUUCCGCAGUGAGCAUGAUUGCUGCGAUGCUAUCGGACGUAAUGGGAUUUUUAAUAUUUAGCUUGGAUGGGGAGAGGGGCUGCUAGCCAGCUCGGGGUGGUUGCACGCACAUGUUGAUUCGCUGGCUCCAGCUCAGACUCCCCAGUUCCCAGCUGCUGGGUUUCUCCUCCCAGCCUCUCCCUCUUGUCUGCCCUGCCCUGCUGUGCAGCCCCUGCUCUCUCCCCAGCUCAUGGCCUCUCCUUGACCUUGGCUUCAGAGACCUGCUUUCAAACCCCAGCCCUACCUCUCACUAGCUGUGUGACCUUGGGUGAGCCACUGACCCUCUCCCAACCUUUGUUUUCUCAUCUGCAAAACAGAAUAAACAGAGGGCUGUUAUACAGAGUAAAUGAGAAAAUACCCAGAAGAGUGUUAUAAAAAUAAGAUUAAGGACUUUUAUGAACACUGUCUUUGCCUGUGAACUUUUUUUUUUUCCUGGUGAGCUUUUUAUUUUGAGGAAAAAAUAACUUUUCCUUAUCACAAAAGCAAUGCAGGUUAUUUGUAGAAUCUUUAGAAAUUACUGAUAAGCAAAAAGGAAGAAAUUAAAAUCACCCAUAAUCCUAUCAUCCAGAAAUAAGCACUGUGAAACAAACUGGUAUAGGUUCUUCCAGGUGGAUUUAUGUGUAUUUACACAUACUGAUUUUUUGUUUUAAGAAAAAAAUGGACUUCUGCUUAAAUUACAUGGGUUUCUUUCUUUCUUUCUUUCUUUCUUUCUUUUUUUUUUUUUUUUUUUCCUUUCAGAGAGACAGGAUCUCACUAUGUUGUCCAGGCUGGUCUUGAACUCGUGGCCACAAAUGAUCCUCCCACCUCAGCCUCCCAAAGUGUUGGAAUUAUAGGCAUGAACCACCAUGCCCAGGAGGAGAAUUUUUGAUAAUAAUAUUUUGUGGACAUCUUUGCAUAUCAUGUCAGAGCUAUAACAUCAUUGUGGAGAAGCUCUUAGGAUCCCAUAGAAUAAAUGUACCGUAAUUUAUUUACUACUGCUCUGUUGAUUGACAGAUAGAUUGCUUGCAGUAUUUCACUAUCUUAAACAAAUGCUGGGGUGAGCCUCAUUGUUUCUCUGUCUUUUUGCAUUGCUGCUGAUAUUUGCGUAGGAUACAUUUCUAGGCGUGGAAUUGUAGGGUCAAAGGGCAUGUACUUUUUUUAGAGCUUUUGACAAACAUUGCCAAAUUACCCUCCAGAAAGGCUGGACCAAGUUACCCUCCAAGCAGCUGCCUUUGAGAGUGCCUGUUUGCUGGCAUGCUCUCCAGCAUGGGAUGUUAUGCCUGUGGCUUUAUUUUCUGUUUCACUCCAGAAUCCUGUGCUUCCCAGCCAAGGGAGGGAGGGGCCAGGGGUCCUUUCUGGGCCUUCAGAGUUGGAUCCUCCUUCCCACCCUGCUUUCAGCUCGAGCCCUUCUUACAGAGGCUGGACCAGUGGCCCAGAAGUGUCUGGGGGAGUCUGCGGGGGUGGGGUGCGGUCAAUGGGGUGGGCUCUGGGAGGGAGGCCGCCAGCUGGCAGCCUGUGCUAUGCUGACUGGGGAAGGGUGUGAGGGUUGGAAUGCUGGGUGGGAGGGGAGGCCCAGACCCCCACAUAGAAAUUCUGCUGCUUCUCUUCAAGGACAGGGUGGAGACACCCAGUUGAGGGAGAAGGAGGGGGGACAGACAACUCCUGCAGACCCCCAGGCUCAGGCCAGGGCUGAGACCACACAGGCCAGCCUUUUGUGAAGGGAAUUAGAUAGGGACCCUGGCCAAUGUACUCAAGUGAUUCAGGCCUUUGCUCUUAAAAAUAGGAAAAAUUCUACACCCUCCCCAACUUCCCCUUUCCUAUCCAUCCAUUGGUCCAUCCAUCCAUCCAUCCAUCCAUCCAUCUGUCCAUGAUACAUCCAUCCAUCAGACAUCCACUGAAAUCAUUCAGCUCUUGAUUUUUCUUCUUCUUGGAGGGCUCAGUGAUGUCUUCAUUGAGGACCAGGAAGCUAACACUUGUUGAGUGUCAUGUGCCAGGCAUUAGGGGGCCUUGGAAAUGGCCAUGAUGACCCCUGCCCCCAAGGCCCACCCAGCCUAGAGAUGGUGACAGAUACAUCUACAGACAGUGAAGGUGCAGGGGGACUGGGGUUGUGCUGAGGAAAGCAGAGCAGGCAGGGAGGGUCUGUGGAAGCUGACGGAGGCACCCAGCCCAUCCAGGGGAGCGUCAGCCAGGAACAGGCGGUCAGAGGACGGCCUCCAGGAGGAGGGGCCACUGCGGUGGAAGCUGAGCGAGGAGCAAGAGUUAGGCAGGUGAGGAGGAGGUGGAAAGGCCUGGAGGCAGCCAGAGUGCAUGCUCCUGGGAAGGGUGGGGGUCAGUCACCUCAGUCCUCUCUCCUCUCUGAGUCAGCUAAAUGGAAGGUUCUGGAUCUCAGGACAUGAGAUGAUUCUUUCUCUCUGGUCUUCAAAUUCCUAGUGAUCUGGGUAGGAAAUAUGGGACAAUUUGGGCUUCAGAACAGCUCAUUCAUUUUUCACUCAAAUACCACUUCCAGGACACCUGCUGUGUACCAGUUCCUAGGCCAGGUGUGGGAGCUGCCCAGAUGCUGAAGGCCCUCCGUACCGUCCCUCGGGCUGCCAGUCUAGGGCGCAGGAGAGAGCUCUAUCCAUAACUACAGACUUGGGGUGCUUAGGAGGGAAUGGGGAGAGAGCCAAGAAGGCUUCCUGGAGGAGGAGCCAUUUUCCCAGGGC